ensembl:lncRNA
CUCAGGGAUGGUCCAUGAACCAGCAACAUGGGCAUCACUGGGAGCUUGUUGGGAAUGCAAGAUCUCAGGCCUCAAGGAAGACUUCUGGAUCAGAAAUGCAGGGAGGAAAUGAGGCUCAGUACACACUCAAGGACAUUCGAUAAGCCCACUCCCGACUCCUUGCGACCCCAUGGACUGUAGCCCACCAGGCUCCUCUGUCAGUGGCCAGCAGAGUUGUUUACACUUUUUCUCAUUUUCUUCCUCCUGGACACAUGUCUCUUCACUUCCUUAUCCCACUUCAACACAAGCAGGGCGAUGUGACGCUCCGGCCAGUGAAACAUCAGUGAAGAUGCUAUGCGUCAUUUCCAGCAUCAUGGUUUUUUCCAAUGAGUUGGCUCUUCGCAGCAGGUGGCCAAAGUACUGGAAAAUCAGCUUCAGCAUCUGUCCUUCCAAAGAAUAUUCAGGUGACCAAGAGCAGAUGUUGACACCAGGGAAAGACCAGAGGGAACUGGAGGGGUGAUGGCCAAAAGGUCACAGCAGCACAGCCUACCCGUGGGUCCUUGAAGCUCCGGGGCAGCUGGGAUACUGAUGAAGGAUGCUCACCCCUCGGGAGCGCCUUGGCAGGAUGAAAGAAACAGAAGCUCACAGAAGAAGAGUCUGUAGCUCUACAACUGUUAAAUGACCAAACAGACACGGAAACCAAACUCUGAUCUGAAACCAGUACUUCCAGUUGCUUUACUGGCAUUUGUUACCCAGGAGAAGAACACAUUAAAAGGAGUUAAGUUGAAUCAGCCUUGGUUUUGUUUUCUGUAAAAGUAUUUUCAGAGAUAAUGUAUAUAUUCAGCCUUGUACCCAUUUGCAAGUAUUAAUAUGUGUGAUAAACUUGUUACUGGCCAGAAUUAUAGAAUAAGAGUGGGAUCCAAAGGAAAUGAGACAUAUCUAUUAUUAUUAUCA